AGAGUUUGAUCAUGGCUCAGAUUGAACGCUGGCGGAAUGCUUUACACAUGCAAGUCGAGCGGCAGCGCGGGGCAACCUGGCGGCGAGCGGCGAACGGGUGAGUAAUGCAUCGGAACAUGUCCAUGUCGUGGGGGAUAGCCCGGCGAAAGCCGGAUUAAUACCGCAUACGCCCGAGAGGGGAAAGUGGGGGACCGCAAGCCUCACGCGAUUGGGUUGGCCGAUGUCCGAUUAGCUAGUUGGCGGGGUAAAGGCCCACCAAGGCGAUGAUCGGUAGCUGGUCUGAGAGGAUGAUCAGCCACACUGGGACUGAGACACGGCCCAGACUCCUACGGGAGGCAGCAGUGGGGAAUUUUGGACAAUGGGGGAAACCCUGAUCCAGCCAUUCCGCGUGAGUGAAGAAGGCCUUCGGGUUGUAAAGCUCUUUUGUCCGGAACGAAAAGGCUACGUUUAAUACGCGUGGCUCAUGACGGUACCGGAAGAACAAGCACCGGCUAACUACGUGCCAGCAGCCGCGGUAAUACGUAGGGUGCGAGCGUUAAUCGGAAUUACUGGGCGUAAAGCGUGCGCAGGCGGUUUUGUAAGCCAGAUGUGAAAUCCCCGGGCUCAACCUGGGAAUGGCAUUUGGGACUGCAAGGCUGGAGUUUGGCAGAGGAGACUGGAAUUCCUGGUGUAGCAGUGAAAUGCGUAGAUAUCAGGAGGAAUACCGAUGGCGAAGGCAGGUCUCUGGGCUAUAACUGACGCUCAUGCACGAAAGCGUGGGGAGCAAACAGGAUUAGAUACCCUAGUAGUCC
rnacentral:rRNA from 1 species